GAAGGGCGUCGCACUACGUGUCGUCACAUUUUGGGUCGGGAGCGGCACGGCAGUGGACGGGAGACGACGAUGGCCGCCCUCAACGCCUCCGCCUGCGCCGCCUUCCGCUCCGUCGUACGCUCGGCGGCGGAUUCUCCGAUCGAUGACCCGUCCCCCUCCCUCCCCACCCGCGUCGUCCUCCCCAAGAAGAAGCCGCUCAAGUGGUCCACCGGCGUCGCCCCCGGCGAGUACGGCGGCCCUCCGACCACCACCAAGCUCCGGAAGUACUGGGGCGGCGGGGACGAGGAUCCUGUGACCGCCACUGAUGACUUCAUCUGGAACAAGGAGUUCCUCGGCCGCAUGCAGCAGUUACUCGACGAAGACCAGGCGACCCCCAAUCCUGUUCCUUCGCUGCAGAAGGAGCCGGAUUCAGGUUUCCUAAGCCUCAACCGAGCUCUGAGUCUCGACAGCAUAGAGAUUGACCUGAGCGAAGAGCUGAAGCCGCCACCGAAGCCGGUGUUGGAACAGCAGGUAGAGGCCGCGAGGAAUGGCCUUUCGGCAACCGAAGGCACGAAUGAUACUGCAUCACCGAGGUGGAGGUUGGUCCCUACUCGGAGGGAGCAAGCAAAGUGGGAUAGAGCGAGUAAGGCGGCCACCGGUGGCAGUGAUGUUAUUUUACGAGAAUCAAAGAGGGCUCGUGGGGAUCCCAAGGUCUUAGCAGCCCAAUCACAAGAGCAGUAUAUUAAGUUGAAACGGAAGCUACAAAUUCUCACUGUCAGUAUUGGUGGCAUCGGAGUUGUCUCUGCAUACUUUUCCUACUCUCCUGAAAUUGCAGCCAGCUUUGGUGCAGGGUUGCUUGGUUCUUUGGCGUAUAUACGCAUGCUAGGCAAUACCAUUGAUUCAAUGGCAAAUGGCGCAAAAGGGUUUGUCAAGGGAGCUGCUGGACAACCAAGGCUGCUGGUUCCGGUUGCACUAGUAAUGAUGUAUAAUAGGUGGAAUGAGAUAUUAGUACCAGAUUAUGGCUUCAUGCACUUGGAGUUGAUACCGAUGCUCGUUGGGUUUUUCACCUACAAAGUUGCUACAUUCGUCCAAGCUAUUCAGGAUGCGCUGGAUGUAGUUGAGAGAAGGAGCUAAUCGUGAUGAUUCCCUGGGUUGCAGAAGACACUCGACACUAUAUGUUUUGAGCAUGACACUGGAACCUGUUAGCAGUUUGAUAUCUUCUCUGCUUUGGCUUCCCCCAGAAUCAUGAAGAGACUAUUCCCAUUGCUUGACUACAUAGGUAUGCUAAAAACAAGUCUUGGUGACCGAGCUAAGCAGACCACAGCUAAACAAGUCUUGUUGACAGAAUUGGCAUGUGAAUAUAUCUCAUGUGUUUCUAAUAUCUCAUUUAUAAGAAAAUGAGAGUCUGAUGAUAUCAUCCUAAUUGUGUUCUAGGCGGCAUGCAGGAUGAUUUCUUGCAUGCAUCUUGUAAUGAUCGUAGGAUCGUCUGUCAUCUAAUUUUUUGUGUUCUUUUGACCUA